GAUGAACGCUGGCGGCGUGCCUAAUACAUGCAAGUCGAGCGAACAGACGAGGAGCUUGCUCCUCUGACGUUAGCGGCGGACGGGUGAGUAACACGUGGAUAACCUACCUAUAAGACUGGGAUAACUUCGGGAAACCGGAGCUAAUACCGGAUAAUAUAUUGAACCGCAUGGUUCAAUAGUGAAAGACGGUGUUGCUGUCACUUAUAGAUGGAUCCGCGCCGCAUUAGCUAGUUGGUAAGGUAAUGGCUUACCAAGGCAACGAUGCGUAGCCGACCUGAGAGGGUGAUCGGCCACACUGGAACUGAGACACGGUCCAGACUCCUACGGGAGGCAGCAGUAGGGAAUCUUCCGCAAUGGGCGAAAGCUUGACGGAGCAACGCCGCGUGAGUGAUGAAGGUCUUCGGAUCGUAAAACUCUGUUAUUAGGGAAGAACAAAUGUGUAAGUAACUAUGCACGUCUUGACGGUACCUAAUCAGAAAGCCACGGCUAACUACGUG
rnacentral:rRNA from 1 species